CCACACGACCGUACCGCAAACCGACACUGGUGCGCGAGAUGAGUAUUCUAAGGCGCUUGAGAGAACUCAGGAGAAGGAACUCGGCAAAUUGACACCGUAACUUCGGAAGAAGGUGUGCCUUUAGUAGGUGAACCUGUACAAGGGGAGCCCAAUGAGGUUGCAAAAAAUCGGUGGCUGCGACUGUUUAAUAAAAACACAGCACUCUGCAAACACGAAAGUGGACGUAUAGGGUGUGACGCCUGCCCGGUGCUGGAAGAUUAAAUGAUGGGGUGCAAGCUCUUGAUUGAAGUCCCAGUAAACGGCGGCCGUAACGAUAACGGUCCUAAGGUAGCGAAAUUCCUUGUCGGGUAAGUUCCGACCUGCACGAAUGGCGUAACGAUGGCCACACUGUCUCCUCCUGAGACUCAGCGAAGUUGAAAUGUUUGUGAUGAUGCAAUCUCCCCGCGGAAAGACGGAAAGACCCCAUGAACCUUUACUGUAGCUUUGUAUUGGACUUUGAACAGAUCUGUGUAGGAUAGGUGGGAGGCUUUGAAGUGUGGUCGCUAGAUCGCAUGGAGCCAACGUUGAAAUACCACCCUGGUGUGUUUGAGGUUCUAACCUAGGCCCGUAAUCCGGGUCGGGGACAGUGCAUGGUAGGCAGUUUGACUGGGGCGUCUCCUCCCAAAGCGUAACGGAGGAGUUCGAAGGUACGCUAGGUACGGUCGGACAUCGUGCUAAUAGUGCAAUGGCAUAAGCGUGCUUAACUGCGAGACUGACAAGUCGAGCAGAUGCGAAAGCAGGACAUAGUGAUCCGGUGGUUCUGUAUGGAAGGGCCAUCGCUCAACGGAUAAAAGGUACUCUGGGGAUAACAGGCUGAUACCGCCCAAGAGUUCAUAUCGACGGCGGUGUUUGGCACCUCGAUGUCGGCUCAUCUCAUCCUGGGGCUGUAGCCGGUCCCAAGGGUAUGGCUGUUCGCCAUUUAAAGAGGUACGUGAGCUGGGUUUAAAACGUCGUGAGACAGUUUGGUCCCUAUCUUCCGUGGGCGCUGCAGAUUUGAGGAAGCCUGCUCCUAGUACGAGAGGACCGGAGUGGACACACCUCUGGUGUAUCGGUUGUCACGCCAGUGGCAUUGCCGAGUAGCUAUGUGUGGAAGAGAUAACCGCUGAAAGCAUCUAAGCGGGAAACUCGUUUCAAGAUGAGAUCUGCCGGGGCCUUGAGCCCCCUAAAGAGUCGUUCAAGACCAGGACGUUGAUAGGUCGGGUGUGGAAGCGCAGUAAUGCGUUAAGCUAACCGAUACUAAUUGCUCGUGCGGCUUGAUC
rnacentral:rRNA from 1 species